rnacentral:lncRNA from 1 species
GAUAUCAUGACCCAUUAAAAAUAACAACAAGCAGUAAGGCUAAUACUCUGCCACCUCAGCCUUGCAGAUGCUUCUACAAUAUAUGGACACCUACAAAUGAGACCUUCACACCUUACAGCUGCAGUAAACAAGAGAACAUUGAUAAUUGUGACUCCAAAGAUUCUAAUUCUCUCUGGAUAUACUGUGUUAUUUCUAACACAUUGAAGAAAAAGGAGGAGACAAAUAUUUCAUCUUCGCCCUCAUGCAGGAUGGAUUUUUUUCUUUCCUAUGAGCUGAAAUAUAAACAACAAAGACAGGAACAG